UACGUAGGGUGCGAGCGUUAAUCGGAAUUACUGGGCGUAAAGCGUGCGCAGGCGGUUCGUUGUGUCGGCGGUGAAAGCCCCCGGGCUCAACCUGGGAAUGGCCGUUGAAACUGGCGAACUGGAGUGUGGCAGAGGGGGGUGGAAUUCCGCGUGUAGCAGUGAAAUGCGUAGAGAUGCGGAGGAACACCGAUGGCGAAGGCAGCCCCCUGGGCUGACACUGACGCCUCAGGCACGAAAGCGUGGGGAGCAAACAGG
rnacentral:rRNA from 1 species